AGUGAGCGGCAACAGCUCAAAUUUGAAAUCUGGCCCUAGGCCCGAGUUGUAAUUUGCAGAGGAUGCUUUUGGUGCGGUGCCUUCCAAGUUCCCUAGAACGGGACGCCAGAGAGGGUGAGAGCCCCGUACAGUUGGACACCAAGCCUUUGUAAAGCUCCUUCGACGAGUCGAGUAGUUUGGGAAUGCUGCUCAAAAUGGGAGGUAUAUUUCUUCUAAAGCUAAAUACCGGCCAGAGACCGAUAGCGCACAAGUAGAGUGAUCGAAAGAUGAAAAGCACUUUGAAAAGAGGGUUAAACAGCACGUGAAAUUGUUAAAAGGGAAGCGCUUGUGACCAGACUUGCGUCCGGUGAAUCACCCAGCUCUCGCGGCUGGGGCACUUCGCCGGCUCAGGCCAGCAUCAGCUCGCUGUCGGGGACAAAAGCUUCAGGAACGUAGCUCUCUUCGGGGAGUGUUAUAGCCUGUUGCACAAUACCCUUCGGCGGGCUGAGGUACGCGCUCCGCAAGGAUGCUGGCAUAAUGGUCAUCAGCGAC
rnacentral:rRNA from 1 species